ensembl:snRNA U6 U6 spliceosomal RNA
GUGCUCGCUUCAGCAGCACAUAUGCUAAAACUGAACGACACAGAGGGUUAGCAUGGACCCUGUGCAAGCAUGACAUGCAAAUUCGUAAAGUGUUCCAUAUAUAU